GGUAGCGUGGCCGAGUGGGUCUAAGGCGUUGGAUUUAAGUCAUUUGAAUCCCAAUGGGCGCAAGUCCGCGUGAGUUCGAACCUCACCGCUACCA
rfam:Paxillus involutus ATCC 200175 unplaced genomic scaffold PAXINscaffold_14, whole genome shotgun sequence.